UCCUACGGGAGGCAGCAGUAGGGAAUCUUCCGCAAUGGACGAAAGUCUGACGGAGCAAUGCCGCGUGAGUGAUGAAGGUUUUCGGAUCGUAAAGCUCUGUUGCCAGGGAAGAACGCUUGGGAGAGUAACUGCUCUCAAGGUGACGGUACCUGAGAAGAAAGCCCCGGCUAACUACGUGCCAGCAGCCGCGGUAAUACGUAGGGGGCAAGCGUUGUCCGGAAUUAUUGGGCGUAAAGCGUGCGCAGGCGGUUUGCUAAGACCGAUGUGAAAUCCCCGGGCUCAACCUGGGAACUGCAUUGGUGACUGGCAGGCUAGAGCAUGGCAGAGGGGGGUAGAAUUCCACGUGUAGCAGUGAAAUGCGUAGAGAUGUGGAGGAAUACCGAUGGCGAAGGCAGCCCCCUGGGCCAAUACUGACGCUCAUGCACGAAAGCGUGGGGAGCAAACAGGAUUAGAUACCCUGGUAGUCCACGCCCUAAACGAUGUCAACUAGUUGUUGGGGAUUCAUUUCCUUAGUAACGUAGCUAACGCGUGAAGUUGACCGCCUGGGGAGUACGGUCGCAAGAUUAAAACUCAAAGGAAUUGACGGGGACCCGCACAAGCGGUGGACGAUGUGGAUUAAUUCGAUGCAACGCGAAAAACCUUACCUACCCUUGACAUGGUCGGAAUCCCGCUGAGAGGUGGGAGUGCUCGAAAGAGAACCGGCGCACAGGUGCUGCAUGGCUGUCGUCAGCUCGUGUCGUGAGAUGUUGGGUUAAGUCCCGCAACGAGCGCAACCCUUGUCCUUAGUUGCUACGCAAGAGCACUCUAAGGAGACUGCCGGUGACAAACCGGAGGAAGGUGGGGAUGACGUCAAGUCCUCAUGGCCCUUAUGGGUAGGGCUUCACACGUCAUACAAUGGUCGGAACAGAGGGUUGCCAACCCGCGAGGGGGAGCUAAUCCCAGAAAACCGAUCGUAGUCCGGAUUGCACUCUGCAACUCGAGUGCAUGAAGCUGGAAUCGCUAGUAAUCGCGGAUCAGCAUGCCGCACUUUUAGUUCCCGGGCCUUGUACACACCG
rnacentral:rRNA from 1 species